rnacentral:tRNA from 1 species
UAUAUUUUAGUUUACUUGUUUAAAACACUAGCUUGUCAAGCUAAAAAAACCCUCAUGGUAAAUAUAA